rnacentral:lncRNA from 1 species
AUACCGUUAAACUCGUGCAAUUGCAGAUGAGAAGGGAUGACCUGCUGAACCAACCAUCUGACAUCCAUAACCAAGGCCAAUGCACCAACUUCCUUAAAGAUGUAAUGUUGGAUCUUUUCAUACUUCUCCAUUUUCAUUUUCUCAAUUAUAGUCUUGUCUAAAGUUUCCAACAUUAAUUACAACAUGUCUAUAAUUGAAGACCAGAUUGCAAGUCAAGAACAUGGCACAAGGAGCAACAGAUAUAGGCAAAGGAACGGCACAAGGGGCCAUGAACCUUGCACGGGGAAAGCAGCUGGAGCUGCAAAUAUGGCAUUUGGAGCAGUUGAUGCAAUGAAAAACACCCUUGGGAUGAACCCUGUAGACAAUACCGGCCCCAUCAACCGCCCUGGAAACAUGGAAGUGCACUGGUUCAAACAACCCAAGAAGCACAGAGUAUCCAAGUGAUAAGUGUAUUUUUGCACACUUAUUUAGGUCACAAAUAUGACUUAAUUACGAGCAAAAUGAUUGAAUUAUGACUUAAUCUCGUUACAUUUGUGAAUUGUAGAAAACACCGAUGAACAUGGUGAAAUUCAAGAGAAAAGACACGAAAAAGGACUUAAAUGACGCAAAGUGAAAGUUCAGGGACCAAGGUGCAAUUAUGAACAAAUCAAGAAAUUGAUUAAGCCAAAUAUCAAUUGAUGAUAUCUUGGGAUGAUAGAAUGGAAAGAAUGAAGAAAAAAUGCCAAGAAGUGAAAGGUUCAAGUAGAAUGACCAAAAUGAAUUUUUUCCAUAGUUGGUAGCCGCAUAGUGCUACCCUCUAUGCAACCACAUAGAAGCAAACCGAGAAUAACUUCUUAGUAAAUUUUUAUUCUAUGCGGCCACAUAGAGCAAUUCGAAGGUCGAAUCCGCAGUUUCCUUAUUUCGCCGAAACUCUUAUGAAAACAAGAUUUUUAGGGUCCUAUAUAAACAAAAACUCGACCAAAAUGAGGGGGACGCCGAUUUUACAAGAAAAAAAGAGAUUUUGAAGGAGAAAACGAAGAGAGAACAAGAGGAAAACAUCGCGCCAAUUAAAGAUUUGAUUGAAACUUGAUUCGGGUAAUGAUGUUUUUCAACUAUUUUUGUAUUUUCUUCUUUUUAGCAUGUUAGGCUAGAUUUUUCAUCACUAGGAGAUCAAUAAACCUUGCAAUACUACUUUUGAUUUUUGAUUUGGAGAUUUGACAUAUUUAAACACAUG